UAACCGGCAGGACAGAAACAAAAUCAGGAUUUUUAGCCAACGAAGUCGAAAUACGUGACUUUAAAAAGCAGUUAUGUAAACAUUCAGAAGAAAACUAUCCUGCGGGUCGGACUUCCUGGAGAAAAUUUAAAAUGUACUGUGUUACAGCAGCUUUUCACAGUUCAAAACAAGCUUCCUCUUGAACGCACCUUCUCUAACGUGGCGGUUUAUUUAAACAGCACCUGUCCCGUCCACACGUUUGAUUCAUAGACUGUAUAAAAUAGGUUUGAUUGCUAGCAGCUAACCAUAGACUGUAACGCAACACGUCAUUACCCACUUCACCUGGCAACAGCUGGAAUAUUCUGGGAUGGAUUGUCUCCGACGUCUUCCAACGUCGCUUCCAGCUGCAGUGGCUUCUUAUGGACAUGAUGACCAGCUAAUGGCGCGAGCGUGAGGGUAUCUGCUUCAUGUCAACAAGUUUGCCAAUCCCCGUCUGUCUGAAGAACGGUCAACGGACAACAACAGAGCCUCCAACAACAGACCUAAGACAUAGUGGGAAACAUAUGGAUGGAUACAAACUGCAACCCGAUUGGUUGGUGGAUGCAUACAACUUUAAGGUGGAAUCUAGUUAAGACAUGCUUCUAAUUGACAAGUGUUGGCUGCGUCUUGAACGUAGUGUUGUUUGUUGUGUAGCUGCUCGCAGUACAGACAGUCUGAAGUCAGUCUGAAUCUUCACUAUGUUUUACCACCUUGUGGAAAAUCAAAUUGCGUCCUCUUUUGGCUUUUGUUUUGAGCGUUUCUUUGACACUUUGUGGCGAACUCUGUCCAAAUUGAUUAUUUUAAAGGAUUUAGUUCGCUAAGCUUAUGAUUAUAUCUUAACUAUCACGACCAUUCAAACAGCAUCUCACAUUACCCUAGACAUCCUUUGCGGCUCUCUUUUCGCUGCAGCUAUUGUUUUCUGUCGCUGAAAUUUCCCUCAUUAUGGUUGCACCUUCUCCAAAUAAAUUCACCCCUGCUGUUAUAUGAA